ensembl:snoRNA SNORA53 small nucleolar RNA SNORA53
AACACGCUCCUUAGAUCCACCUCUGGAGGGCGCUCUUGCUCUGGGCUGUGGUCUCUGUGAGCGGCAGCCCAGCAGCAGAGCUCCUCAGCAGCUUGCUGGCUGUACAGUUGGAGGUGCUUGAGUCAUUGGCGUGUGAGAGCAGUCUACCUGCCGCCCAGCCCACCUGCAGCAGUGGCACCUCGGCCCUCCACAGGCAGGGAGCUCCCACUGCUGCGAGGCUGGGGAGCGGACACU